rnacentral:rRNA from 1 species
AACGAACGCUGGCGGCGUGGAUAAGACAUGCAAGUCGAACGAGAGUUUGUUUAUAGCAAUAUGAGCGAACUUUAGUGGCGAAAGGGUGCGUAACACGUGGCUAUCUACCUCGAAGUGGGGGAUAUCUCCGAGAAAUCGGAGUUAAUACCGCAUGUGACCGUAAGGUCAAAGCUGGGGAUCGUAAGACCUGGCGCUUUGAGAUGAGGCUGCGGCCUAUCAGGUAGUUGGCGGGGUAAUGGCCCACCAAGCCUAAGACGGGUAGCUGGUCUGAGAGGACGACCAGCCACACUGGAACUGAGACACGGUCCAGACACCUACGGGUGGCAGCAGUCGAGGAUUUUUCUCAAUGGGGGAAACCCUGAAGGAGCGACGCCGCGUGAGGGAUGAAGGUCUUCGGAUUUGUAAACCUCUGUCAUCUGGGAACAAUGCUAGUCACCUAACACGUGCCUAGUUGAUAGUACCGGAAGAGGAAGCAGUGGCUAACUCUGUGCCAG